AGACUUACGUGGUAGGCGAGGUACCAUCAUCCAUGAAGGUGUCUUUCACAGGGUGACGCUGAUUCAUUGCACCCCAGAUAUGCUGACCCCUGCGAUUUCCCCAAAUGUGGGAAACUUGGCUGCAUAAUUUGUGAUAGUGGGGGACUGCAUUCACCCUCUCCCUUG